UCUUCCCUCCAAACCUAAACCUAAUCGCGCCGUCCACCGUCGCGACGCCACCACCACUUUUCUCCUCGCCUCAUCUCCCUCUUCCCCUUCCUAGAUCUACGAAAGAUGACAUCUUUUUCGUGGACGGAGGAGGAUGUGCUACGGUGCUGCGGUAGCAAGCGUUUCGCCAAGGAGCUCGCCUCCACCUCUCCGUUUUCCGCCUCCUUCUGUUGUCGAAUGCUUUGCUGCUUUUCUUAAAAAUGCGAUUUUGAUCGCCUCCAACCAAGUCGUUUAGGAGCUUUUCUGUGCUGUUGAUCGUCAAAGUUCGCAUCUUGAAGAUGGGCGCGUGUUCUUCGGUCGAUAGAGAUGCCGAUCCCUGCAUCAGAUACCGCCUGGCAGUGAGCUACAAGGGGAGAAGGAUCUCCGUUUCAUGGCCGGCAAAGGAGAAGCCUUUGGAUGGGGAAAAGCCAGUCGGCGGAUAUGGUCCGGAGGUCCCGGCUCAUGCUGAUUUGAACAGGUAUUGUGAAUUUGGAGUUUCUCGAGUAGAAUUAACGAUGAUGAAAUAUGCUCUUAUCAUACACUUGAACAAGAAUCAUCUCUCAGGUUCUAUUGCCACCUGUCGCUCGCUCGCUCUCCUGGCGAGAUCUCUCCAGCCUCCUUUCUCUUCUCCGAUAUCCAGCUAUGGAUCUGGUGGCCCCAAUCGCCGUGCUCCUCGUCGUCGCGACGGUGACCUUGGGGACGGAGGCCUCGAUCCACGCCUAUGACCUCGAGCCCUUCAGGGAGGUAGGGAACGCGCUCCUCCUCUCCGGCGGCAGCGAGGGCAUCGUCGCGUCCCGCCUCGACGCCCUUGGUCCCCUACGGAUCGGAGAUGGUCGGGCUUACAUCAAAUAAUAAAGACUUCUCAGAAUGUGAGACCAUCUCUCCCUCAAUUAUGUUAUCAACUCUUUCAGCAAUGGAUUCUUGAGCUGCAAGCAAGCACGCAUGACUUAUUAAAUAUUGAGAGCCAGGGGAAAUCAUCAGAUUUAGAUAAUCAGUUCAGGAACUCUAACUGCUCCCUGGGAUGACUUGCAGAUUGGUAACCUUGGAAAGGAUGUGAAGGUGGAUUAUUGAAACCUACAUCAAAUGCAUCAGCUUCAUCAGCAAUGUUUCUAGGUUCCAAACCCCACGACAGUAGUGGUCAUCUUCAUUUAGGAAGUGUUAAAUUCUCUUUUUCAGAAACGACAUGCAUACUUACUGCAUGGAUAUGACUCAAAAAGGAAACAUCAUGCUGCUGCAUGGUUGAACGAGGUUCAUGAAUGUGGGAGCUGAUAUGCUCAUCCUCCAUUUUUUUAUAUGAGAAACUAUCAGCUACUAAAUUCUUAAAAGUGAAGCUAGAUAGAAGAUAUAGCUAGAUUGAAUUUUUAUCUUCUUUGAAUUUUUAUAUAUGACUUGCGUGUCUAGCAAGGCUAGAUAGAAGAUAUAGAUAGAAUGAGUUGGUAGGGACAUACUACAUAGCCAAUAAAUUCUUAAAGAAUUGAAUUUAUCAGAGUGUGAUGUGAGGAUGGUGUAAGGAGUAAAUUCUUGUGUCGGAGGGUUUUGUUUACUCGAUUUUAGCCUCUCUCUUUUUCCCGAUAGUCUGGGAUGUGUUACUCUCUGAAGCAAAAUUACUAGGAAACUGUGUAUCUGCAUUUUUUACUUCUCUUGGAAAUUUGUUUCUUUGCCUUGGAUCUACACUAUUCGAAUUGUAUAAGGGCAUGUUUCAUCCUUGCCUAGUGCCGUCAGAAUUUAAUUUCCCAUGACUCAUCAUUCAAGUUUAUUUUGUAUCUUGUAUAACUUAGUUAAUUUUGUUAAUCCAGUGGAUGGUGGCUGACUUUUACGGUGGAAAAAUCUUACUAAAGUUUAAUCUUUGUUCGUGCAGACCUAGUGGUUGCUAGUGCUGGUGACGAUAAAAAGAUAUCACUUUGGAAUAAAAAUGGCCAAAGUAUGGGAUCCUUUCCUUCUCACGGCAGCGACCUUGCUGAUGACAUUGAGGUAGCUCAUUGUUUGCUCAUUAAUUUGUUCUAUUGUGAUCAAUACAUCUGGUUUUCUGGAAAUUUACAGAUGUCCGGAUGCCAUUCAAAUCAUUGCCUGCAUUUUUUCCCCCUCUAUCUCUCUGGUUUACAUCUUGUCUUUAGUUCAACCACUGUUAAUGAUUAUUCUAGAGUGACCUGCGUGUCUCUGGUUUACAUCUUGGCUCCUCUUGCUUAUGUGCUCGAAAGGUUCAAGGAGCAUGUCUCAUUAGAAUUGUUGAGAAUAAGAUAUAUGACUACAAAUUGAAUAUUUUUAAACUCAUCUCAUGGUUGUAGGAAUCGAAGACCCAGCUUCUCAUUUGGUGUCAUGCUAAAAAUAUUCAUUCUUGCUAUGUUGGGUAUAACAAUUCAGCAAAAUGUAUACUACGUUGGACUCCAUCUCAUUUCUCCAACUGUUGCCAGUGCCUUGGGCAAUGUCAUUCCUGCUUUUACUUUCUUAUUGGCAAUUGUACUGAGGAUGGAAAAGCUCAACUUGAAGACUGUAAGGCCAUCUUCUGCAUCACUGGUUCCCUGAUCUUCACAUUUUGGAAAGGUCAUUUUGUUGGGGGCCUUUGUUACUUCACCUAUGAUCCAACUUCAUUUCGAAAGUCCUGAGAAAGGCGAUGGCUAGCUUAAAGGCUCUGCUCUUAUGCUAUUCGGCUAUUUUGCAUGCAGUGUAUCACUUGUUCUUCAGGUAUUGCGUCAAUGGUGUCCCUUGUGUUGUCACAUGUAUCGCUUUUGAUGUAAAAAGAAUGUUUGAGUAUUUUAUGGAUAUUGUUGUAAGAAGAUUAUUUAUAUAAUUUGUGAAUAUUUGUGUA